GUCAUAUCGCCCAAGGGAACUGCCCGUAUUAGGAGUCUCCUGAUAUCUGGCCGGCAUGGUCCCAUUGGGUGUAACAUUGUGCUUGAGAACAAAAAGCACAACAAAAAAAUAUCAAACGCAUAAACAAUCAACAGCUUAAGCUGUGACUUCUACAGCCGCUCUUUUGGGAUCAUGGUCAACCGCUUUUCCAGUCAGGGGACAGAGGCAUUCUCCAAUCCAGCUCUUGGCACAAAUGUCACGAUGUGGGUUGGGUCCCAAGUCUGCGGAGAAGUUUGGCUAGGAGUAGCAGGUGUCAAGUUCAUGUGACCAAAGGCUGUGAGAAGUGUAGGCACUUCUGCCCCUGAGGAGAUUCUGUGCACAGUUCCACUGUGGGUGACAAUAAGUGAUCUUGGUGCCCCUAAGUGAUAUGCCACCCCUGUUGAGCACAGUUGACCAGUAAGUUGGUUGAGAGAUUUGUGCCACUGGCAUGUGGCCUUGAUUAGGUCGUGGUAGAAGGAUAAGUUGGAGUCUUCUAAGGUGAGUGGAGACUUGCCGCUCAGGGCAGCCAUGAUUUGGGCCUUAUCCUGUGGUAGAGAGCAGCACAUGAUGAUGUCCCCGGUCAGAGGUUUUGUGGGUGACCCC